ACUUACAGCCAUACCACCCUGAGGGUGCCUGAUCUCGUUUGAUCUUGGAAGUUAAGCAAGGUCGGGCUUGGUUAGUAAGGGCCUGGGAAUUUUGUGCAGGACUCUGUGGAUA
rnacentral:rRNA from 1 species